UACGAAGGGGGCUAGCGUUGUUCGGAAUUACUGGGCGUAAAGCGUGCGCAGGCGGCUUCUCAAGUCAGGGGUGAAAGCCCAGAGCUCAACUCUGGAACUGCCCUUGAAACUGUAUGGCUUGAGUAUGAGAGAGGUGAGUGGAAUUCCCAGUGUAGAGGUGAAAUUCGUAGAUAUUGGGAAGAACACCGGUGGCGAAGGCGGCUCACUGGCUCAUUACUGACGCUCGAGGCGCGACAGCGUCGGGAGUCAAACAGG
rnacentral:rRNA from 1 species